GACGAACGCUGGCGGCGUGCUUAACACAUGCAAGUCGAGCGGUAAGGCCCUUUCGGGGGUACGACGAGCGGCGAACGGGUGAGUAACACGUGGGUGACCUGCCCUUAGCUCUGGGAGUAAGCCUGGGAAACUAGGGUCUAAUACCGGAUAUGACUCCAUGACGCAUGUUGUGGGGUGGGAAAGCCUUGUGCGGCUAGGGAUGGGCCCGCGGCCUAUCAGCUUGUUGGUGGGGUGAUGGCCUA
rnacentral:rRNA from 1 species